ensembl:ncRNA lncRNA:CR43852 long non-coding RNA:CR43852
CUCAGCUUCAAAUUAUUUUCGACAAGUUGCCAAACAAAUUGAAAAUUCAGCCCGCCUGCACAAAAAAAAAAAAGAUGGCCGACUACACGGGCCUGUUCAGGUGCCACAAGGCGGUGAUGAUCCUAACCGAGGAGGUCGCACUCGCACCCGCACCCUCUCCCGCAUCCUGCUAAAAGGAUGCGUCCUGCUGGUUAGGUUUCCUGCCACAUAAACAGGCAAAUAAAGAGCCAUUUGGUGUGCUUUCAUAUUCAU